UACAGAGGUCUCAAGCGUUGUUCGGAUUCAUUGGGCGUAAAGGGUGCGUAGGUGGCGCCGUAAGUCAGGUGUGAAAUUUCGGAGCUUAACUCCGAAACUGCAUUUGAUACUGCGGUGCUUGAGGACUGGAGAGGAGACUGGAAUUCAUGGUGUAGCAGUGAAAUGCGUAGAGAUCAUGAGGAAGACCAGUGGCGAAGGCGGGGUCUCUGGACAGUUCCUGACACUGAGGCACGAAGGCCAGGGGAGCAAACGGG
rnacentral:rRNA from 1 species